rnacentral:rRNA from 1 species
AUUGAACGCUGGCGGCAGGCUUAACACAUGCAAGUCGAGCGGAGAGAGGUAGCUUGCUACUGAUCUUAGCGGCGGACGGGUGAGUAAUGCUUAGGAAUCUGCCUAUUAGUGGGGGACAACAUUUCGAAAGGAAUGCUAAUACCGCAUACGUCCUACGGGAGAAAGCAGGGGAUCUUCGGACCUUGCGCUAAUAGAUGAGCCUAAGUCGGAUUAGCUAGUUGGGGGGGUAAAGGCCUACCAAGGCGACGAUCUGUAGCGGGUCUGAGAGGAUGCUCCGCCACACUGGGACUGAGACACGGCCCAGACUCCUACGGGAGGUAGCAGUGGGGAAUAUUGGACAAUGGGCGGAAGCCUGAUCCAGCCAUGCCGCGUGUGUGAAGAAGGCCUUAUGGUUGUAAAGCACUUUAAGCGAGGAGGAGGCUACUUUAGUUAAUACCUAGAGAUAGUGGACGUUACUCGCAGAAUAAGCACCGGCUAACUCUGUGCCAGCAGCCGCCGUAA